rnacentral:rRNA from 1 species
UUACAGUACCGCAUGAUACAGUGAUCAAAGGAAGGCAAUCCGCUGAAAGAUGGGCGUCGCGUCCGAUUAGAGUAGUUGGUGAGGUAACGGCUCACCAAGUCGACGAUCGGUAGCCGGACUGAGAGGUUGAACGGCCACAUUGGGACUGAGACACGGCCCAGACUCCUACGGGAGGCAGCAGUGGGGAAUAUUGCACAAUGGGCGAAAGCCUGAUGCAGCAACGCCGCGUGAGGGAAGACGGUUUUCGGAUUGUAAACCUCUGUUUUCGGUGACGAACAAAUGACGGUAACCGAGUAGGAAGCCACGGCUAACUACGUG